GGAAACCUCCCCACUUCCACCAUCCAGUUUACGGUUUACUGCGAGUUUAGACUUCUGUCUCUCCGGGGAAAAUGUAAAAUUACUGUCUGCCUCCAAGCUGAAAUGGCACCAACAGCCAAAAAGAGUGACUCGUGCAAGCUUGCCUAGUGAGUAAAAUGGGUUUAUUAGGGUCGCUUACGUCUCCUGAGCUUCUGUUUUCUAUGACUCAGGAGCAAGCCUGGCUUGGAUCACUGCCCAGAAUUAGAGCAGCGCAGACAGAACCAGACUCCGGCAAAGGUACACGCUCACGUGCACUCUGCCCUUUCUCUUAUCGGGGAUUCAGCAAAGAGUGCCUGUGGGGAGGAUGCCUCUGCUCAAAGCUGGCUGGCAAGCAGAUCAGAUAAAUUCCAGCUUGCAACAAAAUGGAGUUACCCUGAGGAGUCAGAAGAUAAGUCUCAUUCCAUUGGCAAGCUUCAUAUAAGUGUCUACACAGUUCGCUUGUGUUGAAGGGUGGGUCAGAAUUUCCUCCUAAGACAUUGUAUAUAACAUACUUUUAGCUGUCAUCUGCCAUCAAUUCUAAUACACACAUGUCACAGUAUCAGGAUUGCUAACCCCUACAACCCCUGAAAACUGUCGACGUUAAGAUUUGCUAGCUGUGUGCUUUAGCUCUGUGUCACUGUAACAAGUGUCUGGGAUAAUCAAAUUCUUCAAAAUAAAAAGUC
rnacentral:lncRNA from 1 species